GCAGUCAGUCCGCAACGCCCGCGAUAAUUAGGCAGAAUGCCCAAAUUUACACAGCACCCGGAAGUGCGAUAAACCGUCGUAUUUCGUGUCCCGCGAUUUGCGAGAUUUCGUGAGACUUUUGCACAGGUCAACAAACUUUAUCACAGCUGCUAUGGCUUUUACUGUGCUGCGUAGCAUGUAGGGGACCGAAGAAUACAAGAACAGCUUCUAUCCUCGUAAUGGAAUCAACUACGAGCCGGCAGCCACCAUCAUCAAAGUCAACAUCAGCCAAGUCUUUCCAUACCAAAGUUUGGAGCUACAUGCAGAAUGACCACUCAGCGCAGCUGUACACAGGCGGGCUAGAGCGUCGAUGUGGCUCUACUUCAUCUAAAAAUUAGAUGAUGUCUGCAACCAACUGUAUUUUUAUGAGCACCUUUUUAUUUUUAUUUUUGAACUCUGCACCCUCAGUUGUGAUGUUUGUUGACAGUUUGCGAUGCCACGGAAGUCUGGACGUAUAUAACAAUUGGUCCUGUCCAGAACCACCUUAGAUGUAGAUGUUGUUGUUUUUCUGACGGAUGCACUCAACCAUCGAACUUGCGGAACAUUGACAACAAAUUAGCUAAGACACAGACUUCACACAUCAGUCUCCAUUGCAUUCCUGAAUCAGCGUUUGCUAGACUUCACAUACAUGUAGGAACAAACAAUCUUGAAAGCGGAGUUUGGGAGAAGGACAAGAAGGAUUUUGUUCAGCUUAUUCUUUCAGUAAAAGAAAAAUCCAUUUCAAGUGAUUACAUUUUUGUAUCUCUGAUAGUGAUACUUCGAAGGUGGGAUUCCUGAGCUUUACAUGAACAAAGCAUUUAUUAUAAUAAAAAACUGAUUGAACUGUCA